rnacentral:lncRNA from 1 species
AGGGGGGUGGCCGGGGGGGGGGGGGGGGGGGGGGGGCGGGGGUGAGCAGGGAGAAACGAGCGCCCCCUGGAGGGGCCCCAACAAGCCCGAGCCCCUCCUCUCUUGACACGGGCUUGGGAGGGAGCAGAUGGGUUUGUCCGGGGCAGCCCUGCCCAGAGGUUGGUGCUGGCGGCCCCUUCCUUCUCCCAUAAUCACGACAGAGCGUGUCCAGAGCGCACAGUGCAGAAGCUGUGCAAACGCCUCCCUGGAAACCGCGCGUGGAAAGGACCAGAAGCCACUCAGGAGGAUGCUUGAGUGCAGCACCCGGACGCCUCAGCUGCGGACGCUCAAGUGCGGCAAUUUGGGAGCUGCUGAGGAUGAAGCGGCAAGUGAGUCGAUUAAAGCGCUUCCUCCCGCGUGGACUGACCCCAUGGUAAGGAGCCUGUCUCUGGAGCCUCAGAGCAGCAUUUGAUUCUAGCUCUGCCAUGUGUGCAGGCUGUGGGCCUUGAGCAAGUUGAUAAACCCAGGCCCCUCAUCAUUACCGCAUCACCCCAGCCGUGCUGUUAGUCACGUGGAUUACAGUGGGACUCUGCGGGCUGGAGGUGGGUUGAUGCCCUCGCGAUGACAGUCCCAGCACAUCAACCCCGACCCCCGCUGGGAGCUUUUCCUGAGCUACAGCUGCUCAUGAACCUACACUGACCCAAGCAGACUAGAGAGAGGUUCAUUUUCGAGGCUUGGAGAGGAGGUUCUCCCACUCCUGCUGGAUGUGAGAGAGAAGGGUUUUGCGCUCCAGGAUGGCCACGCAGGGACCCGGAUGCAUAGCUCUCUUGUGAACCACAGGAGAACCACCCCCAGCCCGAUGCUGCCACAGGGGUACAGAUCAGCCACAUCCACUGAUAAUCCUGAAGCCCGAGUGGCUUCAAACGACCCUCGCAUCAUUCUCACGCACACUACGUGACCCGCCUACAGCCCGAGGAGCACCUGCUGGGCAUUGUCACUCCUCAGCCCAGGCAGAGGGAGGCCCCAUUUCCACACUGGCUUCCCCAGUCAUCAGAGCAGAGGAAAGGGCAUGGAAAGAACACGCCUCAGCACAACCUUCCAGAAGUGACCAGGCCGUUCUGUUUACGCUUCAUUCCCCAGAGCACGUCCUUGGGGGGGGGGUGAAGGCGGGGGGCACUGGAAGCCCACGCUGUGCUGGGAAGAUAGGGGGUCUAGAGGGGUUUGGUGAACACAGAGUGGGGAGGCAGAGGGAACCUACAGCAUUGCUCAGCUGUCAUCUCCCACGCCUGGCCCUGCCUCUGGACCCGCAAUGACAGGAAAUAAUAAUGCUUUUGCUGCUUCUUUGAGCUGCACGCUUGUGUGUGCCAGGCUGAUCCAGCAACGUCUCCCCGUUCCUUCCUGACGCUAGGAUUUUGCAUCGUCUCUCUUGGAGUCUUGCAAGUCUCACUCAAGGUUUGUCAAUUUCGUUGAUCUUUUCAAAGAACGAACCUCUGGUCUGGGGGACGCUUUCUGUUGGCUUUCGACUCUGGAUGCCAUUCGUUUCUGCUCUCUUCUUCGGUACGUCUUCCCUUCUGCUUGCUUUGCUUUUAAGUCCCUUCGCUUAGCUGUUUGUUACCUACAGCUGCAGGCAAGGCUCCCUGGUCUCGGACCUUGUGCCCGCGGGUAAGUGGCGUACUUGCGUGGCAUGCUCACUCAGCGCUGGGCACCAAGCAUGGCAGCUGCGCGCUGACAUCUCACGGUGGACAGUGAUGCCUAGGGAAGAAGGAACUGUGUGACUGACUCCAUUUUACAGUGGAGGCGGCUGUGUUUGCCAAAGUCCCAGAGCUCAUGGGGGGACAGCUGGGAUUCCAACUUGGAUGGAAGUCCUAAGUUAGGCUCUCUGGGCUCAGCGCUGAGAUCUCAUGCCUCGCGGGCCUUUGUCAGGGGAGGAGCGUCCCUGGGCAAUGACAGCUUCCCCUGUGGAGGGGGGCACGCGUUGGGGCAGGCCCACUGCUGCUGAGCCGCCGGCAGUGCUGGCUAACCCAUCAUUAUGUCACUUCCCCAGGAGCGGCUGCUGGUUCUUCAGGUCAUGGUUGCACUAAAGAAACAAUUUUCCUCUUAGAACUGCCUUGCCUCUGCUGCUCUUAUUUCUGCCUGACAAACAGCAUGGAGAGAUGGGGCUGCCCAGCGGAACGUGACUUGGCAUCACGCAUCUGUGUGGGGUGGGUGUUCCUUCCUGAGGAAGAUGCUUGGAUACAAGGAACACUCUUGUCUUUGCAGAAUGUCGGGAAGUGGGCGGCGUGUCUGCUGUCUGGGCUGGCGUGAGGCUCUUACAGGACCCACUGUCACCUCACACCGGGCUUGACCCAGGCUGGUAAAGGCCGUCUCUGAUGUGUGAUGGAGUCCAGCCCCUCGCAUCCUGAAAGCGCCGUCUCAUAUCGCUGAAUUUCCCAAAUUGUCUCGAAAAUUCCAGCACCACCUCAUUGCUUUUAGCAAAUUAAUGAAAUGGUGGGGAAGCCCUGGGGGCUUUUCUAACUCUUAAUUAAUCAUAGUUGUCACUUAGGAGGGGGCCAAGGCUUUCCCAUCAAAGCAAGGUCCCUAUUUCCAUGCCAACCUGGUGGGUCGUGUUUGCUCAGCGUGCACGUGUUCCCAUGAUGCCUCCAAAGAGCACAAGGGGGAGGGGGGAGCGAUGAUUAGGAGUUUGGGAUUAGCAAAUGCAAACUAUUCUAUUUAGGAUGAAAGUGAACCACAAGGUCCUUCUACGGAGCACAGGGAACCUUAUUCAAUACCCUGUGAUAAACCAUAAUGGAAAAGAAUAUGAAAAAGAAUAAAUAUAUAAGGAGAUAUAUAUAUAUAUAUAUG